rnacentral:rRNA from 1 species
CGACACGGUCUCCAUCGAGGGCCUAAAGGCACCAGAUCCCAUCUGAUCUGAAGCAUAGCAGUGUAGGCACUGGCUAGUACUUGGAUGGGGGGCCACUAAUGAAUACCUGGUGCUGUGGGGU